UCCUUUAUCCUCUUCGUACGGAAAUAGUCUAGGUGUCGAAAUCUCAUCGCCUCUUCGUCCUUGGUUUCUAAUCCAAUGGCCAGCCUUUCAAUACCGCUGAGGAAGGUGUACCAAUUUCGGCUAUUGGCAACCUUAUCUCCAGGGAAUUCGAAAUUCGAAUUCAUCCCGUUUUCCCUCUCAAAAUCUGCCCAUUUUCCCCCUUAGCUCAGCACCAAUUUCUUCUGUAUAAACUUUCAUCUACUCUUUAUAGAAGGGGGAAUUUUCGUUCUUGAGAAGAAUACUUACAACAGCUUAAAAAAAUAGAUAAGGACAUACACAUACAGACACAUCCAAGUUGUAUUCGAAAUAGAGAUCCCGCCUAGAAUUCCCAGACAUCGUUUAAGUUCGAGUCGUGUAGUGAAGACAAGUUCCCUACUCGCACGUCUCUAGCAGGUUUCAGUGCUUAGGAGUAAAAAAUAGCAAAAUAAAGCAGAAAUUGAUGAGUUUGCUGCACAAAUUAAUUUCAUCUCCAAGGAACGAUAGUGUUGCAGCAAGAGAGCAGGAGUGUCACUUGGGACAAAAAGACUUUCCUAUUUCAAUGGCAUCAUCAGUUAAACUAAUCAUCCAAGAUAUGUUCGAGACCGAUAGACCUGCAGUUGAAUGCCAAAAGGUGUCAGAGAAUCCAAUGAUAAACUAAAAUUGAUUUUCAUAGCUGAGAGGAAUAACUCAAGUUUUUCUUUCAUAUGAAAAAAUGGUCUAUUUAACAUCACUCCCUUUGGAGUAAUUCAAACAUGUUCUUGUUUUCAUAGCACUAGACUUUGGGAUAAGACUUAUUAGCAUACUAUCGUUCAAGUCUAACAUAGUCAUGUUUAAAUUCA